rnacentral:rRNA from 1 species
GAUGAACGCUGGCGGCGUGCCUAAUACAUGCAAGUCGAGCGAACGGACGAGAAGCUUGCUUCUCUGAUGUUAGCGGCGGACGGGUGAGUAACACGUGGAUAACCUACCUAUAAGACUGGGAUAACUUCGGGAAACCGGAGCUAAUACCGGAUAAUAUUUUGAACCGCAUGGUUCAAAAGUGAAAGACGGUUUUGCUGUCACUUAUAGAUGGAUCCGCGCUGCAUUAGCUAGUUGGUAAGGUAACGGCUUACCAAGGCAACGAUGCAUAGCCGACCUGAGAGGGUGAUCGGCCACACUGGAACUGAGACACGGUCCAGACUCCUACGGGAGGCAGCAGUAGGGAAUCUUCCGCAAUGGGCGAAAGCUUGACGGAGCAACGCCGCGUGAGUGAUGAAGGUCUUCGGAUCGUAAAACUCUGUUAUUAGGGAAGAACAUAUGUGUAAGUAACUGUGCACAUCUUGACGGUACCUAAUCAGAAAGCCACGGCUAACUACGUG